rnacentral:misc_RNA from 1 species
CUGGAACACCUCCUUUCUGGAGAUCAGUUAUUAUCUGCACUUGCUGGCAAAACCUUCAACCUUUACCAUAAGCUGACAGCCGGGAGGCAGGAAGCACAGGUUUUCGGAACAUGGAAAAGGUUCGAUUCCUUUUAACCUGUCAGUACUCGUAAGAGUAACAGUUCUUUGACAUACUGGAAAGAUGGAAAAAUAUAUUCCACAACAAUGAGCAAAAACAGAAAUUAUAUAAAUGUUUUACGACAUUAAUGAUUUCCGAGUAAGCUGAAAGUAUAAAAUUAGAGUAAAUAAUUAAGGGCGCACGGUGAAUGCCU